CCCUAUCAAACAAACACUUGCAAAUUCACCCUCUAAUGGAGGCCGGGACACACACAUAAACAAUUGUUACAAUACGAAAACGGUGCUCCUUUCAGUUUUCUCCAUAUCAGUAUUUCACUCCUAAACUCUUCACAAAACCAUCAUUAUCAAAUUAACAGCAAACAACUAAAGGUUCUGUAGUUUAAUAUUGAAUUUGCAGAACUUAAAAUUUUAUGCGUAACACGAAUCAGAAGCAGAAUCCCCGACCCAAAAGUUCCAUCCUCAUCUUCGUUCUCAUCAAACAAGAAAAAAUGGUCUUGAUGCACUGGAGCCAUCAAAUCAUUCUCAGCCCAUUUUUACAAGAUUAUAGCAGAAAACAAGCUUCAAGUCCACGGUUUCUUUUUCUCAAAUCUUACUAGUUCUUCCUAAUCCGAUGUACCUUGUAGCGUUUCAUUUACCGUGCAUUACAGUUACAUUUACCUUUGAGCUUAUCAAAUGUAAUGUUAACGAACUAACUUAAGAAGGCAACCACAACCAAGGAAGGGUAUAUAUCGGUUUUUUAUGCUCCUUAUCGUGCUUUUAUGACAUUUGGCAAGCUAAAUUCAAUAAUACAAAGGAAAAGAAGUCAAAAUCUUGUUCACUACAAGAGAAUCGAUGAACUUCAAAAACAAAAAGGAAUCUAUGUCCUUGCUCGCAUAAAACAUAAAUACGAGUAAAACUGAACUGAAAAGAUUAUUUCAAGUAACUCAUUCUACAUAAUAUGGCAAUUUGGAUGUGGAAUUUAAGCAUAGAGCUCUACAUAAGUAAAGGCUUUAAGAUUUAUCCAGCAGACUGAUAUAAUUCAGGCCUAAAGGAAACUGAAGGUCCAAUGGUAUUCGAACCGAACACUUCGAACAAGUUCUCAUUCCAAAAGAAAUGCGAUAUUGUUUCUAAAUUUGUCAGACAGUACACAACAAUGUACGAUAGUAAUGACAUUUUGAUAAACUCACAAAAAAUAGAAAGACAAGAAUCCAUGGAAAGUAGAAACCGGAAACGUCAAGAAGCCAACUCGAAAGUUAAAACCAAUUCCUAAUUGAAAAAUAUGAGAAACCAGUAAAUUUCCUAACUUGAUUUUAGUAAGGGUCCGUUUGAUUACAAAGGUGGAAAAGACAAACUAAUCUCAUAUAAGUUGGAAAAGAAAAAACCAUCAAAACCAUACGAAUUCGAUUUCCACUCAAUUGGCCAAAAGCAUACUUAAGUGUUUGUACAUUGGAAUUCGAACUUCAUUUUCACUUUCAUAUCAAACAGCCAAAGUAGAAAACGAAUUUUUCAGAUAUGAUAUUUUCCAUGGAAUUUAAUACUAUCAAACGGACCCUAAUAGUAACAUAUAGUAGUCCCCUUUUUUUCUUAUCUAUCUGCAAUUAUAUUUUGAACCACGUGCGUUGAACAAGCAUGUAUUAUGGGAUAUAAUUUUACAAUAAUCAAAUAAAGGAAUGCCAUACCAAUUCCAUCAUCGAAACACUGCAAAUACAUUGAGAUUAAUCUCCAAGACAUGCAAGCGAGAUUCCCAUUAAAAAAAAAUGGAUAAUAUCACACACAACAUACACACAAAUUUGUGAACAUUUAAAAUGUUAUUAACAUAUCAGGCAUAGCAUAUGAGCAAAGGCCAGAACUACAAUAACGCAUAUAUCAGGAAUGGAUAAAGAGUUCUUAUAUGUUAAUUGUUGAAGAUAAAUAAUAUCACAUCCUUGAACCACAGUUCAGCCUAAUAAAAGAACAGAGUUUGAUCAACAAAGAAAUUAAUACCAAUCUAAAUAAUUAAUACACCCAAUACAUAAAGCCUUUAACGCCUUAAAUAUAUUAUACCUGUAAGUGCACAAAAAUUACCUCUUUCCUGCAGGACACAGAAAAGAAAAGAUCGAAUGAAUAUCACUCCAGCAUAUCAAAAUUUCAGCCAUGUAUACCACUUUUAACUUCCAAUCAAAUCUCAUUUCACAUCUGGGGAUCUUUAUCUCCACCAUCUUCAGCAGGUGCAGUCUCAGUUUUUUCAGCACUAACAAAAAAUUAAAAAAUAAAAAAUAAAAAUAAGUUCAAUAAAAAACACGUCAGUAAAAAAGAAUCGAAUGGUACAUCAUUAUAUUAUAACACAAGACAGGUGAGGUUCUGAUUUCUACUGAGUUUCCUAAUCCUCAAUUUCAACUAGGCUCAGGCAAACCAUUUUUUCUUCAAAGAAUAUAUAAACUAAAUUAACAUUCUUCUGAGACAAACUCCCCCACGGAGAGGAAGGG
rnacentral:lncRNA from 1 species